rnacentral:rRNA from 1 species
AUUGAACGCUGGCGGCAGGCCUAACACAUGCAAGUCGAACGAGUGGCGGACGGGUGAGUAAUGUCUGGGAAACUGCCCGAUGGAGGGGGAUAACUACUGGAAACGGUAGCUAAUACCGCAUACCAUCGGAUGUGCCCAGGUGGGAUUAGCUAGUAGGUGGGGUAACGGCUCACCUAGGCGACGAUCCCUAGCUGGUCUGAGAGGCUGAACAGCCACACUGGAACUGAGAAACGGCCCAGACUCAUAAGGAACGGAGCAGUGGGGAAUAUUGCACAAUGGACGAAAGCCUGAUGCAGCCAUGCCGCGUGUAUGAAGAAGGCCUUCGGGUUGUAAAGUUCUUUCAGCUGGGAGGCGUUACUCGCAGAAGAAGCACCGGCUAACUCCGUGCCAGCAGCCGCGGUAAUAC